AGGCGGGGUCAAAGGAAAGUCGCCUCCACCUUCUCAGAGGCACUAAUCCGUCUUGCUGCUGCUGCUGUUGUUGAAAUUGACUGCAUUAAUUGAGCACCUACUGUGUGUGAUCCUACGCGAGAUCGAUAAAGACGGAAGGCGCUCCAGCUUCCCCUGCCACUGGACUCCUUGGCAAAGGUGAGCUUUGUCAGUGUUCAAUCUCAACCAAAUUCUCAGUGGUGAGUUCAUCGCAUCAUAGAGCAACCACAAAUUUUCAUGUGGGCCACACAUACCAAUACUUGGCAUCCUCGGACUUUUUAAUUUUGCAGAUCUGAUGGCAAACGUAGGAUCUGUUAUGGACCAAACUGUGUUCCCUCAAAAUCUUUUUAGUGAAGCUCUAACACCCAGCACCGGAGAAUGUGAUUGUAUUUAGACACAGGCCCUAUAAAAGGGUGAUUAAAUUCAAGUGGCUGACGUCCUUCUAAGAAGAGGAGACAUAGGGGCCCAUGGACCCAGGACAACCUUGUGAAGAAACAGCAAGCGGCAGCCCUCCUGAAGCCUGGGAGAGAGAGGCCUGACAGGAAGCAGACCCUGCUGGUCUCUUGACAUCGGACUUCCAGCUUCCAGGACUGGGGAAAAGGAAUUUCUGUGUGAGCCACCCAGGGUGUGGCAUUUUAUUACAGAAACCCUACCAGAGAAAUCCAGGAUAACAGUAUUUUUAGUUUGUAUCUGCAGGUUGCUCCUCCUGUUCACUAUUUUGUCUAAAAUGCAGGUGAAGAUGGGCAAAGUAGCCCUUCCCUGUAACACCAGCGCUCUGGGAGGUUGAAGCAGGAGGAUGAGCAUUUGAGCCCAGCCUGGGCAAUUUAUCGAGGC